rnacentral:rRNA from 1 species
AUGCAUAAAGGGGUCAAGUGCCUUGAUGUUCCUACUGGCCGGGUGUAUAUAUCCAGAGAUGUUGUAUUUGAUGAGUCCGUGUUUCCCUUUGCAUCCCUUCAUCCUAAUGCUGGUGCACUUCUCCGCAAAGAAAUUCUUCUUCUUCCUUCACAUCUUCGGUCUUUUGAUCAUGGGGGCGACAACAAUUGUACUAACCAAUGUGAUGAUAUUCCUGCUGGUACUGGUCUUUCUCUUAUGUUUGUACAGGUCCCUGGAGAAAACGGUGCUCAAAAUGACCAAGAUCUCGAAAAUAUGGCUGGUUUUGAUCCUAUAUUUCAUGCUGAGGAAGGAGACGAAGCUGGCACAGAUGACGAAGAAGAUCUGGCGGCGCCUGCCACCCCUGCACGCGCGCAGAUCUCGGAUCACGCGACCGCAUCCGCCUCGGAUCGAGCCCCUGAUGGCUCCAGUCCUGGAUCCAGGGCGGGCCACUCCCGUGCUGCCGCGCCAGCUUCAGGCGGGACCAGCAGCGUGGCCGAAUCCCCCUCGCCCCGCGCGCCAGCGUCAGGCGGGACCAGCGGCGGGACCAGAUCCUCCCCGCACCACGCGCGCAUCCAGUCGCGUUCGGGUGGCGGAUCCUCUGCGUCGGUGCCUGCAGGAGGGGCAGCCACACCAGAAGCCACAUGA